CCUACGGGAGGCAGCAGUAAGGAAUAUUGGUCAAUGGACGAAAGUCUGAACCAGCCAUGCCGCGUGAAGGAUGAAGGCCCUCUGGGUUGUAAACUUCUUUUAUAGGGGACGAAAAAAGGGCAUUCUUGCUCACUUGACGGUACCCUAGGAAUAAGCACCGGCUAACUCCGUGCCAGCAGCCGCGGUAAUACGGAGGGUGCAAGCGUUAUCCGGAUUUACUGGGUUUAAAGGGUGCGUAGGUGGGUUGGUAAGUCAGCGGUGAAAUCUUCGAGCUUAACUCGGAAACUGCCAUUGAUACUAUCAAUCUUGAAUCAUCUAGAGGUAAGCGGAAUAUGUCAUGUAGCGGUGAAAUGCUUAGAUAUGACAUAGAGCACCAAUUUGCGAAGGCAGCUUACUAUGGAUGUAUUGACACUGAGGCACGAAAGCGUUGGGGGAUCAAACAGGAUUAGAUACCCUGGUAGUCCACGCCUAACUAUAGAUACUCACAUUGUCGAUAUACUAGUAGUGUGUGAGNGAAGANAUAAGUA
rnacentral:rRNA from 1 species